rnacentral:lncRNA from 1 species
UAGAACGAUGAUAACCAGCGAAGAGGAAAAAAUACGGACAAAGGCGGUAACCACUCGGGUGGUAAUCGUGGUCAUGAUAAUAAGAGAUGUGAGUCAAGUGGAAAUUUUAGAAAGAGGAGAUUUAACAAUGACGGGAAGACAUCAACAGCAGCACCAGCACCAACAACAAAUUCUAGGGGAGGAGAACGAUCGCCAGUUAGAUGUU